UGGGGAAUAUUGCACAAUGGGCGCAAGCCUGAUGCAGCAACGCCGCGUGAACGAUGAAGGUCUUCGGAUCGUAAAGUUCUGUUGCAGGGGAAGAUAAUGACGGUACCCUGUGAGGAAGCACCGGCUAACUACGUGCCAGCAGCCGCGGUAAUACGUAGGGGGCUAGCGUUAUCCGGAUUUACUGGGCGUAAAGGGUGCGUAGGUGGUCCUUCAAGUCGGUGGUUAAAGGCUACGGCUCAACCGUAGUAAGCCGCCGAAACUGGAGGACUUGAGUGCAGGAGAGGAAAGUGGAAUUCCCAGUGUAGCGAUGAAAUGCGUAGAUAUUGGGAGGAACACCAGUAGCGAAGGCGGCUUUCUGGACUGCAACUGACACUGAGGCACGAAAGCGUGGGUAGCAAACAGG
rnacentral:rRNA from 1 species